GACGAACGCUGGCGGCGUGCUUAACACAUGCAAGUCGAACGGUGACCCAUCUUCGGAUGGUGAUCAGUGGCGAACGGGUGAGUAACACGUGGGCAACCUGCCCCUAGCUCUGGGAUAACGCUUCGAAAGAGGUGCUGAUACCGGAUAUCACCACUCUGGACAUCCAGGGCGGUUGAAAGUUUUCCGGCUAGGGAUGGGCCCGCGGCCUAUCAGCUUGUUGGUGGGGUAAUGGCCUACCAAGGCGACGACGGGUAGCCGGCCUGAGAGGGCGACCGGCCACACUGGGACUGAGACACGGCCCAGACUCCUACGGGGGGCAGCAGUGGGGAAUAUUGCGCAAUGGGCGAAAGCCUGACGCAGCAACGCCGCGUGAGGGAUGACGGCCUUCGGGUUGUAAACCUCUUUCAGCAGGGACGAAGCGAAAGUGACUGUACCUGCAGAAGAAGCGCCGGCUAACUACGUGCCAGCAGCCGCCGUAACAC
rnacentral:rRNA from 1 species